ACGGGAGGCAGCAGUGGGGAAUAUUGGGCAAUGGGCGAAGGCCUGACCCAGCAACGCCGCGUGAAGGAAGAAGGUCUUCGGAUUGUAAACUUCUUUUAUGAGGGACGAAGGACGUGACGGUACCUCAUGAAUAAGCCACGGCUAACUACGUGCCAGCAGCCGCGGUAAUACGUAGGUGGCAAGCGUUAUCCGGAUUUACUGGGUGUAAAGGGCGCGUAGGCGGGGAUGCAAGUCAGAUGUGAAAUCUAUGGGCUUAACCCAUAAACUGCAUUGGAAACUGUAUCUCUUGAGUGCAGGAGAGGUAGAUGGAAUUCCUGGUGUAGCGGUGAAAUGCGUAGAUAUUAGGAAGAACACCAGUGGCGAAGGCGAUCUACUGGACAGUAACUGACGCUGAGGCGCGAAAGCGUGGGGAGCAAACAGGAUUAGAUACCCUGGUA
rnacentral:rRNA from 1 species